rnacentral:rRNA from 1 species
GUACUAUAUAAUAGUUAAAACUUUCAACAACGGAUCUCUUGGUUCUGGCAUCGAUGAAGAACGCAGCGAAAUGCGAUAAGUAAUGUGAAUUGCAGAAUUCAGUGAAUCAUCGAAUCUUUGAACGCACAUUGCGCCCCUUGGUAUUCCGGGGGGCAUGCCUGUUCGAGCGUCAUUUCAACCCUCAAGCUUAGCUUGGUAUUGAGUCUAUGUCAGUAAUGGCAGGCUCUAAAAUCAGUGGCGGCGCCGCUGGGUCCUGAACGUAGUAAUAUCUCUCGUUACAGGUUCUCGGUGUGCUUCUGCCAAAACCCAAAUUUUUCUAUGGUUGACCUCGGAUCAGGUAGGGAUACCCGCUGAACUUAAGCAUAUCAUAACGGGGAAAGGAAAAAACUUUAAGAGUUCAUGCCCGAAAGGGUAGACCUCCCACCCUUGUGUAUUAUUACGUUGUUGCUUUGGCGAGCUGCCUUCGGGCCUUGUAUGCUCGCCGAGAAUACCAAACUCUUUUAUUAAUGUCGUCUGAGUACUAUAUAAGUUAAACUUUCACACGGACUUGGUUCUGCAUCGAUAAAAAAGCACGAUGCGAUAGUAAUGUGAAUUGCAAAAUCAUGAUCAUCGACUUGAACGCACAUGCGCCUUGGUAUUCCGGGGGCAUGCUGUUCGAGCGUCAUUCACCUCAGCUUAGCUGGGUGUUGAGUCUAUGUCAGUA